rnacentral:rRNA from 1 species
CCUGGGGCUGAAGUAGGUCCCAAGGGUAUGGCUGUUCGCCAUUUAAAGUGGUACGCGAGCUGGGUUUAGAACGUCGUGAGACAGUUCGGUCCCUAUCUGCCGUGGGCGCUGGAGAAUUGAGGGGGGCUGCUCCUAGUACGAGAGGACCGGAGUGGACGCAUCACUGGUGUUCGGGUUGUCAUGCCAAUGGCACUGCCCGGUAGCUAAAUGCGGAAGAGAUAAGUGCUGAAAGCAUCUAAGCACGAAACUUGCCCCGAGAUGAGUUCUCCCUGAGACYUURAGUCUCCUGAAGGAACGUURAAGACKAYGACGUUGAUAGGUCGGGUGUGUAAGCGCAGCGAUGCGUUGAGCUAACCGAUACUAAUGAACCGUGAGGCUUAACCUU